rnacentral:lncRNA from 1 species
AAUACUAAUUUUAAUGCCUCGUUUGCAAAAUUUAGUUAUCAAGAUUACUCUUUCAGAUUCUGUAGAGUGAACCUGUGUUUCACAAAGUCUGACUGUGGAACUGGCAGCAACAGAAUCUUGGAAUUAAAAUAUGAAUCGGGAUCCUGAAGCCAACAGGACUUGCUAAAUGUUACACCUGUCGUUUAAAACAACAGCAAGCCAAGAAGGGAGGAGAGCUCAGUGUAGACGGGACGUGUACUCCUCCCACAGGGACCGUUCCGGUACCUCCCAUGAAUGAUCUCAUUUAAUACAACCACGAAAUGAGCAGCGUCGCUGCCCUCAUUUUCCAGAGAAGGACACGGGGGUGGAGAGCGCUGGAUGGCCUGGCUGGGGGCUCACAGCUGGGUGGGAGCAAUGACUUGACGCCAGAGCCCCGGCUGUAAGAGCAGCUGCCUAGUAUCACAAAGCGGGAGGGAUUUGGGAUUCUACGGCGAUGGAAUCCACCCUAAGCUCUUGCUGGUGUCAUAAACGUACCGGCACUCGUGCGGCCAGAGUCCUGUGUUAGGGAACUGGAUUCAGUUGAAUUUCAGCAGCGAGCGAUGCCACAGCAUCCUCACGGCCACACGUCAGCAUGUUCCUGAGAUGACGCAUCCAUCCUUCAAGCUAGAAACAACUUGCCUACAGAUUGGUUCUUGAUGUCUUAGACAAGGAAACGGAAGGUUUAUCAGACCUGCGCUCUAAAGAGAUUUUGGAUCGUUGUUGACAAGAUCAAUACCGAUUAUGUGGCUGUUUGGUGCAGACCUGACCCUUCAUUCCUCCUGAGUUGGGGGUGUGAUUGGCUACAGAGCCGAGAAGGGGAGCCUGGUGUUCCCAUGAGAAGUGCUGUCCCGCGGGCAUGGGCCGUACUGGGAGCUGCGUGGAGCUCGCGGGUCUCAGCUCCAUACUCUCUAUACAUAGAUAAGCUACGAUGGUAUAGAUGUAUUAAGAGGAUAAGUUAGUAUGUGCACACACGCACAUGCUGUUUAAAAAUUAACAAACCAGGCUAUAUUUCCAUUCCACAAUCUUAAAUCCCACCUCAAGUUUCUUCUCUAAGAAACAGAGGAAGUUAUUUUUCUAGUACUGUGCUCCUUGAGCUCACAGAAACUGACAUCAAACAAGCUUCAGUGUUAAGAGAUUAAAGUUUUCAAGUGUUCAGUACUUAGGUUAACUAAGGGAGAGGGGAUCGGAGUGUGUGGACGCCCUCCUUCAAAAACAGAGGAGAAUUCAGACUGUUCCCAGCCCUCAUCUUUAGGCAUCCUUCACUUUGGACGCUUUUCCAAGCUAAGAUACUGAUUUUUUUUUUUAAGUAAUAACUCACGUUAUUUUUAAGGGUUGAGAGGACAUCAUCACUAAGAUAAUGUAGGUUAAAUGAUAUGUAGUUUUACUGUUUUAACUAAAAUUUACUUUUAUGAUUUUUUUCUUCUUAGUAUUUGCUUUUCAUUUAUUUGUUUACUUUUAAACUUUUAGAUAAUUCUUUAAAGAUAAAUUGAUGGAUAGAUUUUCAGGAUAUCUUUAUAAGUAAAAGAAACACUCAUGAUAUUUGUAAAACAUAGAGGAUUUAUUUUCCAAAUAAUAAUGAACAGGGUAUAGCUUGCCUAGUUUUUCAUCUAUACUGCUUUCAAAUCAAGCGUUUUUUAUUUACUUUUUCUAAGACGGUUGGUUUUGAGUUGCCUAGUAGAUGCUCAUGUCACUUCAGACACAGUAUUUCCAGAAGCAUUCAGAGGGAGUUCCACGUUUCUUGUAUGGCUUCCUGAUUCUGGCUAAAAGGUGACUCAGUAAAAUGUUAGGAUCUUGUCCUGAAAAAGCCUGAAAUUAAAACAAUCCAAAUAAAAAAACAGGUUAUCAAUGAAUCGAGUCCUACACACACUAAUAGGAGCCUUAGUUCCUUUAAAAAGUGUUUUCUUGCUGUUUUAUUGGAUAGGAUUGUGGUGAUCGCCCAGCGUGUAGGUUCUGGAAGGUCUCCUUAUGCCCUACCUGUGGUGCAUCCAGUCUGUUUAGCCCUGUGAUGGCCGUGAAUUUUCCUAAACCCUCACUGGCCUAUUUCUGUUUAAAUCUGUCCGUGACGUGUUCUGUCCAUUUACUGUCUUCUCUGUAAAGGAGGCCUUUUAUUUGCCUUGAAAUUAACUUCUUUAAGCAUGGACCCUUACUUUUUUUUUCUGGGAUUUCAUGAGCACGUACUAAUCACCUUUGUGAUUUUAGAGUCUUUCAUCAUAACCCUUCUAUUCGGAACAAUAUAAACAUCUGAAUGAUAACGUUGAAUGUAGAAGCCAUCCCCGUCCCCUUCUGGAUGGUUUACCUGCCCUGGGGCCUCAGGUGAUGUAUGCCAUCUUCAGAAUUGAGGGAUUCCAGAGUAUAUUUUUAUAAGGAUGGUAAUGGGUGCUACACCAAAAAAAGGUGUCUCCAGUCAAAAUAUUUGGGAAAUGCUUGGUUAAAAUUAAAUACGCUUAUCUCAUUUCCUGGAGGCUUUAACAUGCUAAUAAUGUACAUAAAGAUAUUACCAGGACGGGAGAGGGGCCAGAACCCAGGGCAUCACUGUAGGCUGGCUCGUGGGACUGGUAUACCUGGAAAGCCCUUUAGGAGACACUAAUGUAGAGUUUGAGGGGUUGAUAAUGAUGAAAUACAGAUUUUUCUUUUAGUGUUUAAGGUCCUCCAUUAACUGUGCACCAUUUCUAACCAUUUAAUAUUGUCGUUCAUCAGUCCCAAUCACAGUCUGUCUUCUGCACCCAAAACGAUUUCCUUCACAUUCUGCUCUAUCACACAUAUGACAUCUCAGGGUUUUGACCGUGUCUUUCUUCUAUUUAGACAUCAUCUGGCAGUGCUUGUCAUACUUUAUUUAACGUGCGUAAGAAUCACCUGGGGAAUCUUGGUGAGAUGCAGCUUUUGAUUCAGUAGGUGCUGGGGGGCGGGGGCUGAGAGCCUGCAUUUCUCACAAGCUUCCACAUGACACCAGUCCUGCUGGCCCUCGGACCACGCGAAGAUGAUCAAUGACACAGCACAAGUGGAUGACAAACUUGAGGGCAUCUUAAGCUCAUUACAAUAAUUUAUCCAAAAUGGACACUGGAUAAGUUCUCGUUGCGUCCACACUUAUAUGGAUCAAACUUUGGAACAUGCUUUGAAGUAAUACGGACUGACCAGUUAUUCUAAGGUGUGAUUUCUACCGAAAAUGCUCGACUGGUUCAUGAAUUGAGGCUCCUCCAAAGUCACGGCAUAGCAUGCUCACUUUUGUAACGUGAUUCUCAUGGUGGAGCUACUUACCUUUCUCACACUUCGUCUUGGGUAAAAAAUGUUGGUACCGAGAUCUGGAAAACAGUAUUUUGAAACCAUUCGUCAUCAGAUCUAUUAUUUCCAUUUUACACUUGUCUUAUUUAAAACGCACAAAAUAGAAUAUUCCUAAAUC